AAGAAACCUUUGCCAGUUCAGCCCCUAGCUCUGCGGCCUUAAAUACCCCUCCCCCAGUGGGGCCCACAGCUUAAGACCAAAGCUUGAGCGCCUCCCAGAACCCCUGCCAGAACCCAUCUCCAGUCCCGAAAUCCACCUACUGCGCCUUUGCAGCCUGUCAACUGAAAAUAAUCCUGGUAAGAGCAGGGGUGGCGGAGCAGGAGUCCCGCAGAAGCUUUGAAUGUGGGAGACUCUGCCCCCUGCUGGCUGCCUUGCUUUCCUUCAGCGCGCGCUCCAAGAAUGAGGUCAGAGCAAGAAAGAGAGAGCCAGGGGUCUUGCAAGAAUCCGAUGCGGGGACGCAUAUACAACACACAAAACAGUGCUCAGCACAUGGCAAUACCAAACUGCAGUUUGUUGACCACAGAUCCUGGGACUUCUCAGCCUCCAUAAUCACGUGAG